rnacentral:misc_RNA from 1 species
AGAAAAGCUGACGCCAGAUUUUCUCGAGAACAUGAGAGAAAGGAAAAGAAAAGAAACUGAGCUUCACCGCCCUUUCUUCAGUACUUUUUCCUCUAUCGUUCGUAAUCCUGUGCGUCAGCCCAUUUUAUAAAUCUGCUUGUGUUUAUAGAAAAACAAAAUUCAUCAAAUCUAAAAAGAUUUUGCAGUGCCAAGGGUUUUAUUGUCCUUAGCAAGCUCAUUGAGGCGGACAAUAUUCAGUGUUGGUUGAGGGGGAAAAUUUAUAAAAAGUUGGAAACUUUGAUUUUCCAACUGAUGCUUUCAUGCCUUCUAAGUCGGUUGUCAAACUUAGAUGGAUGCUACUUCUUCUGAAUCAAAUAGCAACACCCAAAGUGACCAAUACCCCUUGUUGAUGGAACAAAUGGAUAGCCAUAAUGAUCACGAGCACAUAAUCAACUUAACAAGAAAUGAUGAUGCUUCAUCAAGCUCAUCUCAUGAUGUCCUGAAAUUGACUUACCUCUGCAUGAAGAUAGAUCAUCAGGUGGCCCCACUCAUCAAACUUCAUCUUCCUUAAAUGGAUUAAACUCUAGGAAUUCAACAUUUACAAGGAGAAGUGAUGGGUAUGACCGUCGGCGCAGGAGCCCAUUGAACUCUGCACUAUGGAUUUCCAUUGAGCUAUUUGUCACUGUGGGUCAGAUUAUAGCCUCUAUUGUUGUUUUAUCAUUGUCAAGAGAUGAAAACCCACAAGCCCCAUUAUUUGCAUGGGUUGUGGGCUAUGCAUCUGGUUGUGUUGCUACACUUCCCAUUCUUUACUGGCGUUUUCGUAACCGCUACCAGAGUGCCCAACAAGAUUCUGUUCAGUCACAUCAAGGCUCUUCCCAAGACAAUCCUCCUGACUCAUCUUAUACAGCCAUUUCUGUUUCUCAAGCUUCAGAUGAGGAGAACUUUCGCAAUACAGAAUCAACCACAAUGAAUGGUCAAGCCACAAGACCAUUAGGUGCACGGUUCAAUGGAUUAAUGGACCAUUUCAAGAUGGCUUUGGAUUGCUUCUUUGCGGUGUGGUUUGUUGUGGGCA